rnacentral:rRNA from 1 species
CGAAAGGGAGAGUAACGAGUAGAUACGUACCCAGGGGUUCGGGAUAGCCAUGCGAAAGCGUGAGUAAUACCGAAUAAUGUCUCCGGACCAAAUAUUUAUAGCCCUUGGAGCGGUCUGCUUACUAUUAGCUUGUUGGUGGGGUAAAAGCCUACCAAGGCGAAGAUGGUUAGCGGGUGUGAGAGCAUGGCCCGUCUCACUGGGACUGAGACACUGCCCAGACAUCUACGGAUGGCUGCAGUCGAGAAUCUUCCGCAAUGGACGAAAGUCUGACGGAGCGACGCCGCGUGAUGGACGAAGGCCCUCGGGUUGUAAACAUCUGUCGUAGGGGAGGAAAUUUUGACCGAUCCUAGGAGGAAGCACAGGCUAAGUUCGUGCCAGCAGCCGCGGUAAUACGAACUGUGCAAACGUUAUUCGGAAUCACUGGGCUUAAAGGGUGCGUAGGCGGGUUAGUAGGUCAGAUGUGAAAGCCCUCGGCUCAACCGUGGAAUUGCGUUUGAAACCACUAGUCUUGAGGGGAUCAGAGGAGAGCGGAACUGAUGGUGGAGCGGUGAAAUGCGUUGAUAUUAUCAGGAACACCGGUGGCGAAGGCGGCUCUCUGGGAUCUUUCUGACGCUGAGGCACGAAAGCUAGGGGAGCGAACGGGAUUAGAUACCCCGG